GACGAACGCUGGCGGCGUGCUUAACACAUGCAAGUCGAACGGAAAGGCCCUGCUUGCAGGGUGCUCGAGUGGCGAACGGGUGAGUAACACGUGGGUGAUCUGCCCCUUAUUUUGGGAUAAGCCUGGGAAACUGGGUCUAAUACUGGAUAGGACCAUGCUGUAGGUGGUGUGGUGGAAAGAUUAGUUUCGGUAAGGGAUGAGCUCGCGGCCUAUCAGCUUGUUGGUGGGGUAAUGGCCUACCAAGGCGUCGACGGGUAGCCGGCCUGAGAGGGUGGACGGCCACAUUGGGACUGAGAUACGGCCCAGACUCCUACGGGAGGCAGCAGUGGGGAAUAUUGCACAAUGGGCGCAAGCCUGAUGCAGCGACGCCGCGUGGGGGAUGACGGCCUUCGGGUUGUAAACUCCUUUCAGCCAUGACGAAGCCCUUGUGGUGACGGUAGUGGUAGAAGAAGAACCGGCUAACUACGUG
rnacentral:rRNA from 1 species